rnacentral:rRNA from 1 species
CAGAACUCAAGGAAUUGACGGGGCCCGCACAAGCAGCGGAGCAUGUUGCUUAAUUCGAGGCAACGCGAAGAACCUUACCUGGGUUUGACAUGGUAGGAAAAGCCACAGAGAUGUGGUGUCCUUUUGGGCCUACUGCAGGUGGUGCAUGGCUGUCGUCAGCUCGUGUCGUGAGAUGUUGGGUUAAGUCCCGCAACGAGCGCAACCCUUGUCCUAUGUUGCCAGCACGUAAUGGUGGGGACUCGUAGGAGACUGCCGGGGUCAACUCGGAGGAAGGUGGGGACGACGUCAAGUCAUCAUGCCCCUUAUGUCCAGGGCUGCAAACAUGCUACAAUGGCUGGUACAAAGGGCAGCAAUACCGUGAGGUGGAGCGAAUCCCAAAAAGCCGGCCUCAGUUCGGAUCGAAGUCUGCAACUCGACUUCGUGAAGUUGGAAUCGCUAGUAAUCGCGUAUCAGAACGACGCGGUGAAUACGUUCCCGGGCCUU